CAUACAUGGAAAUCUGUGAAUCUUGUGCUGGCAUCUGCAUAAAGGAUCAUUUUCUGGGAGGGCCUGUUACAUCAUUUCCAUGAUCUGCUCUCACUUUCCACUGCAAUGGCUGCAUGGGAAAUGCAUCUGCUUCUACAACUGAGCUUUAAAGAGCACAAGUCCUCUUCUGCUACAAGGAACCUGUUAGGGGCAACAGCAAUUAAGGAGGGA